AAAAGUUUAACCUGCCCACUGAUUGGAAUAAAAUUAAAUGGCCGCGGUAUAUUGACCGUGCAAAGGUAGCAUAAUCGUUAGUUUUUUAAUUGGAAUCUUGUAUGAAUGGUUGGACAAAAGAAAAUCUGUCUUUAUAUUAUUAAUUGAAUUUAACUUUUAAGUGAAAAGGCUUAAAUGGAUUAAAGUGACGAUAAGACCCUAUAAAGCUUUAUAUAGAUAUAUUAUUUAAUUAAAUUUUUAAUAAAAAUUUAGUAGUAAAAUUUAUUUUAUUGGGGCGAUAAGAGUAAAAUUUUUAUUAACUGCUUUAAGUUUUGAAUACAUUUAUGUUUGAUUAAAAUUUUAAAUGAUCCUAAAUAAAGAUUAAAAGUUUAAGUUACUUUAGGGAUAACAGCGUUAUUUUUUUUGAGAGUACUUAUCGAAAAAAAAGUUUGCGACCUCGAUGUUGAAUUAAAAUUUCUUUAUAAUUGCAGAAGUUAUAAAAGUAGGUCUGUUCG
rnacentral:rRNA from 1 species